ACAUUGAACGCCUUCCUAUCGAUGAAUACGCGCCGAUACCUCUACUCCCCUCUCGUUCCCUCUCACUCGUCUCGUGUAUCGGUUUGGACGAGCAGUCGCGCCUUUUGUGUGAUGGCGGAGAUGUGAGAGACGAAGCCCCCUUUUCUUUUCGUCGUUAUCAUUGAUCCUAUUUUUUUUUUUUGGAGGAGGGGGCUUUCCAGAUGGAGUUAUCGUCUUGUUCUCGCUCCGUUUCAGAAGCGAAGCUCUAUGCUCGUCACUGCCCACCUUCCUCGACGAACGGGCACCACAUUCACAUGGCGACUACUUGCCUGCUCGCGUUUCCUCAUGGGCUGCGGUUGCAUUAAGCUCGCGAUGUUUAUCAGUCAUGAGCAGCACGCACAUGAUGUGCGCCCACUUUCCGCGACUGCUACACAAAUAUCGCUGACCCGGCAAUUCACGCGUUUUUUUCAGCCCUCGUGCUCAGGGAGUUUGUCUCCCCUUCCCUCUCUUUCCCAAAGCCGGACCAGGCGCGACCGGGCAGGCUGAAGGUGUUAGGGGUGACUUCACACAUCCAUGUUUUACGUGACCAUGCCCAGGCCAAACAAGCAUAUAUAUCAUGUAUGAUAGAGAGUUUUCUUAUCCGUUGGAGGAGUGGAGGUGCCAUGCGUGAAGCUUCCGCCGUCGCGUGCACCCGCGUCGAUUCCUGCGACUCGGAGCAGAAGUUGCAGAGAACUUAUCUGGGUUGCUGUCCGAGUAUGCCAUCGCAUCGCAUGCUUGUGACACGCAAUAUGCAGACAUCCCACAUAAUCUCUCAUGCUCCACUCUCAUCCAACUCCUACUCUCUUCGGACGCUGCGGUGUCUGAGUUCGUCUGGCGCGUGCUGUAUACGCACCCCAACUGUAUUUGGCCCUAUCGCACACAUCGAAG
rnacentral:misc_RNA from 1 species